rnacentral:rRNA from 1 species
GUCGAACGGGGCGAAGGGAGCUUGCUCCUGGAGCCUAGUGGCGGACGCCUGAGUAACGCGUGAGUAACCUGCCUUUCAGAGGGGGAUAACAUUCUGAAAAGGAUGCUAAUACCGCAUAAAGUCAGAGUGUCGCAUGGCGCACUGACCAAAGGAGCAAUCCGCUGAAAGAUGGACUCGCGUCCGAUUAGCUAGUUGGCGGGGUAAAGGCCCACCAAGGCGACGAUCGGUAGCCGGACUGAGAGGUUGAACGGCCACAUUGGGACUGAGACACGGCCCAGACUCCUACGGGAGGCAGCAGUGGGGGAUAUUGCACAAUGGGGGAAACCCUGAUGCAGCAACGCCGCGUGAGUGACGAAGGUCUUCGGAUUGUAAAACUCUGUUCUUGGUGAAGAUAAUGACGGUAGCCAAGGAGAAAGCUCCGGCUAACUACGUGCCAGCAGCCGCGGUAAUACGUAGGGAGCGAGCGUUGUCCGGAAUUACUGGGUGUAAAGGGUGCGUAGGCGGCCUUGCAAGUCAGGCGUGAAAACCAUGGGCUCAACCCGUGGACUGCGUUUGAAACUGUGAGGCUUGAGUGAAGUAGAGGUAGGCGGAAUUCCCGGUGUAGCGGUGAAAUGCGUAGAGAUCGGGAGGAACACCAGUGUCGAAGGCGGCCUACUGGGCUUUAACUGGCGCUGAGGCACGAAAGCAUGGGUAGCAAACAGG